rnacentral:rRNA from 1 species
CUUUCUUUGCUGGCGACCGGCGCACGGGUGAGUAACACGUAUCCAACCUGCCCUUUACUCAGGGAUAGCCUUUCGAAAGAAAGAUUAAUACCCGAUAGCAUAAUGAUUCCGCAUGGUUUCAUUAUUAAAGGAUUCCGGUAAAGGAUGGGGAUGCGUUCCAUUAGGUUGUUGGUGAGGUAACGGCCCACCAAGCCUUCGAUGGAUAGGGGUUCUGAGAGGAAGGUCCCCCACAUUGGAACUGAGACACGGUCCAA